UGUAGUGAUGUAACAAAGAAUGCAACCAAGAUUCCAAGUCAGAGAUUGAGUGAGGUGUCCAAGUAUCUUUCGAGAUUGUGUCCAAAAUCUUGUGUGUAUUGUGUGUGAGUUGUCCUUUGAGAGUGAUAGUCCAUGUUGUUGUGUGUACACAAAUCUAGUGUACAAGUGUUUGUAAUCAAUAAAAGUACAUUUGUUUGUUGUGUUCAAUUCUACAUUUUCUAAGGGAGUUGCUAUUCGCAGCCUUUUAUUUUCUCCCAUAACUCGUUAAAAAUUUUCAAUUAUACUCGACAGUUAGUUAUCGAAAUUGAGAUAUAUUUUCAGCAUCCAAUUACCGAAAUAUAUUAUUUUUUUCAACAGCUAUUUACCGAAAAUGUAUGUUCAGCAGUUGUUUAUCGAAAGUUGAACAUAUUUUCGACAUGUAGUUACCAAACUAUAAUCUUGUUUUCAAUAGCUAUUUACCGAAAUAUUAUGUAUGAUUUUCCACAACCAUUUACCGAAAUGUAGUGGAUUAUGGAAGAAAAUAAAAGGCUGCGAAUAGCAGCGCCCUUUUCUAAAUAUGAUUGUACGAGGAUCUCUAGUGAUUUCUUGGACCCAUAAUUUGAAAUCCAUGAUCGGAGAGAAAAUUACAAACUUAGAAAAGUCAAAAUCAGUAUUCCGUGUUGGAGAAUCAGAAUAGGAUAUAAGCUUUCAAGUUUUAUUUAUAAAAAAUUAAAGUUUGGCCACUUUUUUUUAGGUUUGAUUUCAUCCCAACUUUGUACCCAAAUAUAAAUAGGCUUGGUUAUGGUACAUAAUGACUUCUUUACUCCAAAUCUGACAUUUCUUCUGCGCUCUCUCUCACGGAAGCUCUUCCCUCCAUCACAACCCACAUCAGACACCGAACUCGAAAACCACCUCCACAAGCUCGACCUUCUCCUCUGAUUCUUCUGCUUCAACCAGACCACUCCGCUCGGCUCCUCCCUCUCCUGGCCGCCUUCGCCGUCGUCGGAAUUACUCUCCCAUUCCUCGUAACUGAAUUCUCCUACUGCUCCGAGUGUGAGAAAGUACCAAAUCACAGUGUUUGUGCUCGAAACCCUCGUCGCUCAGGUCCUCUUCGUUGCGUUCUCUCUUUUCUGCAUCUCGCAUCAACCUGAGGAAGAACAGCGGGGUGGAUGCUGUUCGUCGAUCACUAAUACCGUGGUCGAUCACAAUCACGUGGUCCAGUUUUGCAACUUGUACGUAUAUACAAUAGAUCCAUGUAUGCAUGUUUAUAUUAAGAGGCCGUUCGGCUAAAUAAGUCACUCGGCUUAUUUUUUUAUUUUUAUUAAAAAAAUUUCGUAUUUAUUAGUUUUUGUCAAUUUUUUUGGAAUUAUUAUUUCUUCAUGAAAAGAGGAAUCUAAAAAGUAAAAAAUUACAAUCGAAAUUCAAUUUUUUUUAAUAAAGACGAAAAAAUUGACUUAUUGGCUUAUUUUUGUUUUUAUUCAAAAAAAUUAGAUUUCAAUCGUAAUUUUUUAUUUUUUAGAUCCAUUUCGUCAUGAUUAAGCAAUAAUUUCCAAAAAAAUUGACAAAAACUAAUAAAUACCAAAAAAAAUUAAAUGAAAAUAAAAAAAUAAACCACUUGACUUAUUUAGCUGAACGGCCCCUAAGUAGCCAAACUUAGCUGCCACAGAAGAAGUUUCGGAAAGCACAGUGGUGACCAUUGGAAUUGCAAAGAGCAAGAAGUAUGGGAUAUGCUCCGCAAAUUGAUGAAUAGCAGCUGCCCAAGUAAACAGAAAAUUACUUUCAACCGUCAUUCUCGUCUGGAUUUAUUGAGAUAAAAAGAAGAAUUUGUUCGAUAGAUGAGAUUCUUGUUCGUAUGUGAACUAUGUGAACUGUAUAUGCGAACAUUAUAUUUUAGUGUGUGUUGGGGCUAUGUAAACUAUGUGUAAGACCAAUGUAAAUUGUGCAUUUUAAUGUGUGGUAAGACUGUGUGAACUGUGUGUAUUAAGA